rnacentral:lncRNA from 10 species
GUGGAGGGUUUAGGCAGCGUGUUCUGAUUCUUUGCGGGACGGCGAGCGCAUUUGUGCUUUGCCCGCCGCGGCCUAGGAGGCCUUUUGAGGCCGCGUAGUCGGUGUUUUUGAACUGACUCUACAGCUUCUGGCAGGCCGUGCGGCGCCCUGACCCGGCCUCACCAUGUUGGUGCUGUUUGAAACGUCUGUGGGUUACGCCAUCUUUAAGAGUAAAGCUAAAACAUUUUGAGAAAUUUCAGGAUACAGCAGAAGCAUUAGCAGGGCUGGUUUUCCCCAUGUGUGAGGAGAGGUGAGAAGUGGUUAAGUUGAUCUCCCUGUGGAAACCAGCAACAUAAUGCUGAAGCACAAUUCAGUAAAAGGUGUUCUACAAGGGACCAAGCAUUCACAGCUCUGAUGGAGGGCAAAAUCAAUAAGCAGCUGAAAAAAGUUCUGAAGAAAAUAGUAAAAGAAGCCCAUGAACCGCUGGCAGUAGCUGAUGCUAAACUAGGAGGGGUCAUAAAGGAAAAGCUGAAUCUCAGUUGUAUCCAUAGUCCUGUUGUUAAUGAACUUAUGAGAGGAAUUCGUUCACAAAUGGAUGGAUUAAUCCCUGGGGUAGAACCACGUGAAAUGGCAGCUAUGUGUCUUGGAUUGGCUCACAG